rnacentral:rRNA from 1 species
GCAAGUCGAACGAUGAAGCCUCACUUGUGGGGUGGAUUAGUGGCGAACGGGUGAGUAACACGUGAGCAACCUGCCCCUGACUCUGGGAUAAGCGCUGGAAACGGUGUCUAAUACUGGAUAUGAGCUCUCACCGCAUGGUGGGGGUUGGAAAGAUUUUUUGGUUGGGGAUGGGCUCGCGGCCUAUCAGCUUGUUGGUGAGGUAAUGGCUCACCAAGGCGUCGACGGGUAGCCGGCCUGAGAGGGUGACCGGCCACACUGGGACUGAGACACGGCCCAGACUCCUACGGGAGGCAGCAGUGGGGAAUAUUGCACAAUGGGCGGAAGCCUGAUGCAGCAACGCCGCGUGGGGGAUGACGGCCUUCGGGUUGUAAACCUCUUUUAGCAAGGAAGAAGCGAAAGUGACGGUACUUGCAGAAAAAGCGCCGGCUAACUACGUGCCAGCAGCCGCGGUAAUACGUAGGGCGCAAGCGUUAUCCGGAAUUAUUGGGCGUAAAGAGCUCGUAGGCGGUUUGUCGCGUCUGCUGUGAAAUCCCGAGGCUCAACCUCGGGCCUGCAGUGGGUACGGGCAGACUAGAGUGCGGUAGGGGAGAUUGGAAUUCCUGGUGUAGCGGUGGAAUGCGCAGAUAUCAGGAGGAACACCGAUGGCGAAGGCAGAUCUCUGGGCCGUAACUGACGCUGAGGAGCGAAAGGGUGGGGAGCAAACAGGCUUAGAUACCCUGGUAGUCCACCCCGUAAACGUUGGGAACUAGUUGUGGGGUCCUUUCCACGGAUUCCGUGACGCAGCUAACGCAUUAAGUUCCCCGCCUGGGGAGUACGGCCGCAAGGCUAAAACUCAAAGGAAUUGACGGGGACCCGCACAAGCGGCGGAGCAUGCGGAUUAAUUCGAUGCAACGCGAAGAACCUUACCAAGGCUUGACAUACACGAGAACACCCUAGAAAUAGGGGACUCUUUGGACACUCGUGAACAGGUGGUGCAUGGUUGUCGUCAGCUCGUGUCGUGAGAUGUUGGGUUAAGUCCCGCAACGAGCGCAACCCUCGU